rnacentral:rRNA from 1 species
UAGGGAAUUUUGCGCAAUGGGGGAAACCCUGACGCAGCAACACCGCGUGAAUGUUAAGCCCUUCGGGGUGUAAAGUUCUGUCAGUAGGGACGAAUUUUGACUGUACCUACAAAGGAAGCACCGGCUAACUCCGUGCCAGCAGCCGCGGUAAUACGUAGGGAGCAAGCGUUGUCCGGAAUUACUGGGUGUAAAGGGAGCGUAGGCGGGAAUGCAAGUUGAAUGUUUAAUCUAUGGGCUCAACCCAUAGUCGCGUUCAAAACUGCAUUUCUUGAGUGAAGUAGAGGUAAGCGGAAUUCGUGGUGUAGCGGUGAAAUGCUUAGAUAUCACGAAGAACUCCAAUUGCGAAGGCAGCUUGCUGGACUGUAACUGACGCUGAGGCUCGAAAGUGUGGGUAUCAAACA